UUACCUUCAAAUUCACUCAAAUAAACAACAAAAAAUAUUAUCCUCAAAUCCCCUUAAUUACUCUCCCCCAAUCACCUCCUAUCACCCAAGUGAACACACCCUAAGUGAGAGGCUUUGACAUUUGGGUUGUUGAACAGUUUACUUGUUGAUUUUGAUUGUCUUUUUCUACUCCUCCUCUUGGAGUAAAGGGGAUUUAUUUCUAUUGGAUCGNGCAUGCAGUAGGUGUAGAUUAUUUAACUUACUGCAAAGCUUUGUUUGAUUACAUUCUCAUUUACUAUUUUUCUAGUCUGCUCAAGUGGCUUUAGUCUAUCUUAUUACUUCUAGGAAGGUACAUGUUCAGUGGACAAUUACGGUCAGAGAAUCUGUAAUGGAAAUUUCUCCAUUCCUGAAUUUUUUUAUUCAUGUUAUCGUCUAGGUCCUUCAUCUUCUACCCAGAAUAAUUAUAGUUUUAUUGAAUACGUUGACUUUACAUGAAAAUGUAUUGGUUGUAGGAGGUACUUGUGUCAGCCAUGGUGUUUGUCUAAGCAUGAGUAAUAUUUGAUAGCUGAGCCUUACGAUGACCGAGCCUACUAUCAAAGUUUCUCAAUUAGUAUUUUGGUUCCUGAAUUUGUUUAUUCAUCUUAUUGUCUUGGGUCUUUCAUCCUCUACCAAAUUUUCUUGAAUGGACGGGUCUUGGUCCUUCAUUUUCUACUCAAAUUGAUUAUUGUUUUCUUGAAUUGAUGGGCUUUACACGGAAACUUAGAAAUGAAAUGUGUGCAGGGUGUGCAAAUGGUGGGUGGUGGACAGGUUUCGGUAAUGGUGGAUAGAAAUCUGGUUAACCUUAAGUUUUGUUAUUUUUGAAUUCAUUAUUUUCAUUGCCGUUAUUCUUCAAACUAAACUUGAAAGUACAUGCUCUAUGAGUGGCAGACUUGGACCAUUGGCCGUUGAUUUUGAUUAAUGUUCUACUCAUGUUGCAAUGAAGAGGAUGUCUCUUGGAUCGAGUAUGCAGUAGGUUAUUGAACUUACUAGAGAGCUUUNUGUUUCCUUUCAUUCUCAUGUACUAUUUUUCUUGCCUGCUCGAAUUGGAAUGACUUUAGUCUCUCUUAUUGGUUAUAGGUAGGUAGAUGUUUCGGGUUACAUGUUGCCACGCUGUUUGUCUGUGCUAGAGCAAUGAUUGAUCGCUGUUAAGUUGAUUGAGCCGGUUUUGGAAAUUUCUCCAUUGCAUUUUUUAAUUUUGUAUUUGUCUAUUUAUCUUACCGUCUAGGUACUUCAUAUUCUAUCCAAAUUAAUUAUAGUUUUCUUGAAUUGAUGGGAAAUGAAGUGGGUGCAGGGUGUGCAAAUUGUGGGUGCUUGGCACAACAGUGGAUGGCGUUCUGGUGUGAAGGCCUUUGUUCUAUUAUAUUUGCAUUCAUUAUUUUCAUUUCCGUUAUUAUUCAGCCUAAGCUUGUGGAAUGGGAGAUGCUUGAAGUAAAUGAAGUGUGUUUGAGGCUUUGACAUUUGGGUCUAACUUUUGGAGUGGGAGAUCAUUAAAGUAGGCAGUCUAUGAGUGAGAGGCUUUGACUUUUGGGUCUAACUUUUGGAGUGAGAGAUCAUGGAAGUAGGCACUCUAUGAGUGAGAGGCUUUGGCAUAUGGGUUGUUGGACAGUUGAAUCUAUUGAUUUUGUUUAGCUUCUUCCACUCCUCUUGCACUGAAGAGGAUGUCUAUUGGCUUGCAGAGGGUACAUGUUAACUGGAAAAUUAUGGUCAAAGAAUCUGUUAUUGAAAUUUCUCCAUUGGUUUUUUAAUUCCCGAAAUUGUUUAUUCAUCUUAUCAUCUUGGUCCUUCAUCUUUUACCCAGUUGAAUUAUAGUUUUAUUGAAAAAAUGGACUUUACAUGAAAAUGUAUUGGUUGUAGGAAGGUACAUGUGUCAGUCAUGGUGUUUGUCUGAGCAUGAGCAACACUUGAUUGUCNAACCNUAUGCUGAUCGANCCUACUAUGGAUGCUUCUCAAUCUGUAUUUUGGUUCCUGAAUUUGUUUAUUCAUCAUAUGGUCUUGGGUCUUUCAUCUUCUUCCCAAAUUUCUUGAAUGGAUGGGGUCUUGGUGUUUCAUUUUCUACCCAAAUUGAUUAUUGUUUUUUUGAAUUCAUGGGCUUUACACAGAAACUAAGAAAUGAAAUGUGUGCAGGGUGUGCAAAUGGUGGGUGGUGGGCAGGUUUGGUAACGUGGAUGGAAAUCUGGUGAACCUUAGGUUUUAUUAUUUUUGAAUUCAUUAUGUUCAUUGCGGUUAUUCUUCAAAUAAAUGCGUGGAGUGGGAGAUCUUAAAAGUAGAUACUUUAUGAGUGACAAGGUUUGACAUUUUUGUUAUUAGACUGUUGGCUGUUGAUUUUGAUUAACUUCUACUCAUGUUGCAGUUUAAGAGGGUAUUGGAUCGAUGCAGUUUCUUUUAUUACGUUCUCAUAUACUAUUUUUCUUGUCUUGUUCAAGUUGGAUUGGCUUUAGUCUCUCUUGUGUGUUGUAGGGAGGUACAUGUUUCGGCCAUGGUGUUUGUCUAUGCUAAGGCAAUAAUUGAUUGCGGGAUAUCAUUAUGAUGAUGAUCUAGGUGGAAUGGACCUUACGAGAAAACUAAGAAUUUAAUUGGGUGCAAGGUGUGGAAAUGGUGGGUGGUGGGCAAGUUCUGAAACAGUGGAUGGUAACAAUGGAUGGAGUUCUGGUGAAACCCUUUAUUUUAUUAUCAAUGUGUUCACUAUUUUCCUUGCCCUUAUUUUUCAAACAAAACUUAUGGAAUGGGGUGUUGGUUUGUUGUGCAGUUGACUCUGUUGAUUAUCUUCUUUUACUCCUCAUGCAGUGAAGAUGUCUAUUGGAUCGUGCAUGCAGUAGGUGUAGAUUAUUUAACUUACUGCAAAACUUUAUGUUUUAUUAUAUUCUCAUUUACUAUUUUUCUUGUCUGCUCAAGUGGCUUUAGUAUGUCUUAUUACUUGUAGAAAGGUACAUGUUCAUUGGACAAUUACGGUCAGAGAAUCUGUAAUGAAAAUUUCUCAAUUGCUUUUUUAAUUAUUGUAUUUGUUUAUUUAUCUUAUCUUCUAGGUUCCUCAUCUUUUACCCAGAUUAAUUUUAGUUUUAUUGAAUACACGGGCUUUUCAUGAAAAGGUAUUGGUUGUAGGAAGGUACAUGUGUCAGCCAUGGUGCUUGUCUAAGCUUGAGCAAUACUUGAUCGCUGAACCUUAUGAUGAUCGAGCCUACUAUGGAGUUUCCUCAAUUAGUAUUUCGGCUCCUGAAUUUGUUUAUUGAUCUUCUGGUUAUGGGUCUUCUAUCUUCUUUCCAAAUUUCUUGAAUGGAUGGGGUCUUGGUCCUUCAUCUUCUACCAAAUUUGAUGAUUGUUUUCCUGACUUGAUGGGCUUUACACGGAAACUAAGAAAUGAAAUGUGUGCAGGAUUUGCACUUGGUGGGUGGUGGUGCAGGAUUUGCAAUUGGUGGGUAGUGGGCAAGUUUUGGUAACGGUGGAUGGAAAUCUGGUGAACCUUAGGUUUUAUUAUUUUUUAAUUCAUUAUGUUCAUUGACGUUAUCCUUCAAACUGAACUUGUGGAGUGGGAGAUAUUAAAAGUAGAUACUUUAUGAGUGACAGGUUUUGGGAUUUGUGAUGUUGGACAGUUGGCUGUUGGUUUUGAUUAUCUUCUUCUACUCAUCUUGCAGUUAAGAGGAUAGUGGAUUGAUGCAGUAUGUUUUAUUAUGUUCUCAUAUACUGUUCUCAUAUACUAUUUUUCUUGUCUGUUCAAUUUGGAUUGGUUUUUUACUUUCUUGUUGGUUGUAAAGGUACAUGUUUUGGCCACGGUGUUUGUGUAGGCAAGAGCAAUAAUGAUUGUGGAAUCAUUAUGAUGGGAUGCAAGAGCAAUAAUGCUUGUUUUAAAAAUUUCUCCAUUGCUUUUUAUAUUUUAUUAUUUUCUUUUGAUCUAGGUCUAUUAAUCAUAGUUAAUAGAUGGGCCUUACAAGAAAACUAAGAAUUAAAGUGGGUGCAGGGUGUGCAAAUGGUGGGUGGUGGGCAACUUCGGAAACAAUGGAUGGAGUUCCGGUGAAACCCUUUGUUUUAUUAUCUCUGCUUACACAUUAUUUUCCUUGCCCUUAUUUUUGAAACUAAACUUGUGGAAUGGGUGUUGGGUUGUUGGACAGUUGACUCUAUUGAUUUUGAUUAUCUUCUUCUACUCAUGCAGUGAAGAUGGCUAUUGGAUCGUGAAUGCAGUAGGUGUAGAUUAUUUAACUUACUGUAAAACUUUGUUCUAUUAUAUUCUCAUCUACUAUUUUUCUUGUAUGUUCAAGUGGCUUUAGUCUCUUAUUGGUUGUAGGAAGCUACAUGUUCACUGGACCAUUAUGGUCAGAGAAUCUCUUAUGGAAAUUUCUCCAUUGGUUUUUUAAUUCCUGAAUUUGUUUAUUCAUCUUAUCUUCUAGGUCUCUCAUCUUUUAUCCAGAUUAAUUUUAGUUUUAUUGAAUACAUGGGCUUUACAUGAAAACGAAUUGGUUGUAGGAAGGUACAUGUGUCAGUCAUGGUGUUUGUCUAAACUUGAGCAAUACUUGAUCAAAGUAUGAUGAUCGAGCCUAUUAUGGAAUUUUUUCAAUUAGUAUUUCGGUUCCUGAAUUUGUUUAUUGAUCUUAUCGUUUUGGGUCUUUCAUCUUCUAUCCAAAUUUCUUGAAUGGAUGGGGUCUUGGUCCUUCAUCUUCUACCAAAUUUGAUUAUUGUUUUCAUGAAUUGAUGGGCUUUACACGGAAACUAAGAAAUGAAAUGCGUGCAGGAUGUGCAAUUGGUGGGUGGUGGCGAGGUUCCGGUAACCGUAUGGAAAUUUGGUGAACCUUAGGUUUUAUUAUUUUUGAAUUCAUUAUGUUCAUUGCCGUUAUCCUUCAAACUAAAUUUGUGUAGUGGGAGAUCUUAAAAGUAGAUACUUUAUGAGUGACAGGUUUUGGCAUUUGUGUUGUUAGCCAGUUGGCUGUUGGUUUUGAUUAUCUUCUUUUACUCAUCUUGCAGUUAAGAGGAUAGUGGAUUGAUGCAGUAUGUUUUAUUACCUUCUUAUAUACUAUUUUUCUUGUCUGCUCAAGUUGGAUUGGCUGUAGUCUCUCUUGUUGGUAGUAGGGAGGUACAUGUUUUGGCCAUGGUGUUUGUCUAUGCAAGAGCAAUAAUUGAUGGUGGGAUCAUUAUGAAGAUCGAGCUUGUUUUGGAAAUUUCUCGAUUGCUUUUUGAUAUUUUAUUAUUUUCUUAUGAUCUAGGUCGAUUAAUUAUAGUUAAUAAAUGGGCCUUACAAGAAAACUAAGAAUUGAAGUGGGUUCAGGGUGUGCAAAUGGUGGGUGGUGGGCAACUUCGGAAACAGUGGAUUGUAACAAUGGAUGGAGUUCCAGUGAAACCCCCCUUUGUUUUAUUAUCUCUGCUUACAUUAUUUUCCUUGCCCUUAAUUUUCAAACUAAACUUGUGGAAUGGGUGUUGGCUUGUUGGACAGUUGACUCUGUUGAACUGCAAAACUUCAUGUUUUAUUAUAUUCUCGUCUACUAUUUUUCUUGUCUUCUCAAGUGACUUUAGUCUCUCUUAUUAGUUGUAGGAAGGUACAUGUUCACUGGACAAUUAUGGUUAGAGAAUCUGUUAUGGUCAGAACCUUUUGAUGAUCGUGCUUACUGUGGAAUUUUCUCAAUUAGUAUUUUGGUUCCUCAAUCUUUUUAUUGAUCUUUAUGGUUUUGGAUCUUUCAGCUUCUAUCCGAAUUUUUUGAAUUGAAUGGGGUCUUGGUCCUUCAUCUUCUACCCAAUCUUGACAGUUGGCUGUUGAUUUUGACUAUGCUCUUCGAUUCAUUUUGCAGUGAAGAUGUCUAAAAUAUCUGGAUGCAGUGGAUUUAGAUUAUUUAACUUACUACAAAGCUUCAUGUUUUAUUAUGUUCUCAUUUACUAUUCUUUUUUUGUCUGCUUGAGUUGGAAGGGCUUUAAUCUAUUGGUUGUAGAAAGUUACAUGUUCCGGCUAUGGUGCAAGAUCAAUAAUGCUGAACAUUAUGAUCAUCAAGCCUGUUUUGGAAAUUUCUCCUUUAGAAUUCUAAUUCCUGAAUGUGUUUUUAUCUUAUUGAUUACCUCCUUCAUCUUCUACCCAGAUUGAUUAUAUAUUUUUUUUCUAUGCAAGGGCUUUACAGUGAAACUAAAAUGAAGUUGGUGUGGGGUGUGCAAAUGGUGGUUGGUGGGAAGGUUUGAGAAGCAGUGGUUGGAUAUCCAGGGAAACCUUAGGUUCUAUUGUCUUAGCAUUCUUUAUUUUCUUCGCAAUUAUUUUUCUGGCUAAACAUUUGGAGUGGGAGUUCCUGUAAACAGGCACUAUAUGAGUAUGAGAGGCUUUGGCAUUUGCAGUGAAAACUUGCUUGCUAUGGAUGUCUGUUGUUUGUGGGGGACAUGGCGGUAGAUUAUUAUUUGGAAUGGUUGUAGUCACUCUCGUUUCAAUAUUAUUCUUAUGUGGUUGAUUUGGAACGGUCCAGUGUCUCGUAUUAGUACUAGAAGGUACAUGUAUCAUUCCGUGUUUGUCCAUGCAAGAGCAAUACUUGAUCAUUGAAGGUUAUGAUCUUCGAGCCUGUUAUGGUGUAGGUGUGCAAUCUGUUCAUUGUGACGCUGAGGGUUUCAUUUACUGGAAGAGAAGUUUUUUCUGGAUAAAUUUUUAACUGGCUAAACUUGUUUGUUUGAUUCUGAUCUUGGUUUUAACUGUCA